rnacentral:rRNA from 1 species
GAUGAACGCUGGCGGCGUGCYUAACACAUGCAAGUCGAACGAAGCACUUGUAUUUGAUUCUUCGGAUGAAGAUACUUGUGACUGAGUGGCGGACGGGUGAGUAACGCGUGGGUAACCUGCCUCAUACAGGGGGAUAACAGUUAGAAAUGGCUGCUAAUWCCGCAUAAGCACACAGUGUUGCAUGACACAGUGUGAAAAACUCCGGUGGUAUGAGAUGGACCCGCGUCUGAUUAGCUGGUUGGUGGGGUAACGGCCUACCAAGGCGACGAUCAGUAGCYGACCUGAGAGGGUGACCGGCCACAUUGGGACUGAGACACGGCCCAAACUCCUACGGGAGGCAGCAGUGGGGAAUAUUGCACAAUGGGGGAAACCCUGAUGCAGMGACGCCGCGUGAGCGAAGAAGUAUUUCGGUAUGUAAAGCUCUAUCAGCAGGGAAG